AUGUCCGGGAUGGGGGCCGGAUGUCCGGGCCUCUGGCCGGAUGUCCGGGAUGGACUUGGCUGGCUUCGGUUGCAUUCUGUGACGAGGGGCCGGAUUUCCGAGCAAAGGGGCCAAAUGUCCGGUACUUUGGGAGGAGACGGAUGUUCGAGGCAUGGUGUCAGAUGUCCGGGCUGUCAGGGUCGCUUCCGGAGCUCUCUGUAUAGGAAGGGGCCGGAUUUCCAGGGUCGGGCCGGAUGUCCCGCCGCUGUAGCAGCUCGCUCUUCUUCCCUCUCCUUCCUUCGCUCCCGCACACACUUGGCCUUGGUCCUUAGGCUCUCCAUGGUCUCCUCUGGUGUGCCUAAGUAUGCACAAGGUCCACGCUUGAGGUAG
rnacentral:rRNA from 1 species